AAAAAGAUAAGCUAAUAAAGCUUUUGGGUUCAUACCUCAAAUAUAAAGGUCAAACCCUUUUCUUUUUA
rnacentral:tRNA from 1 species